GAUGAACGCUGGCGGCGUGCCUAAUACAUGCAAGUCGAGCGAACAGACGAGGAGCUUGCUCCUCUGACGUUAGCGGCGGACGGGUGAGUAACACGUGGAUAACCUACCUAUAAGACUGGGAUAACUUCGGGAAACCGGAGCUAAUACCGGAUAAUAUAUUGAACCGCAUGGUUCAAUAGUGAAAGACGGUUUUGCUGUCACUUAUAGAUGGAUCCGCGCCGCAUUAGCUAGUUGGUAAGGUAACGGCUUACCAAGGCAACGAUGCGUAGCCGACCUGAGAGGGGGUGCGCCCCCAUUGGAACUGAGCCCCGGUCCAGCCCCCUCCGGGAGGCAGCAGUAGGGAAUCUUCCGCAGUGGGCAAAGGCCGGCCGGGGAAACGUUGCGGGAGGAAUGAAGGUCUUGGUACGUAAAAACUUUGUUAUUGGGAAAAAACAAAUGUUUAAGUAACUAUGCCCGUCUUGGGGGUCCCUAAUAAGAAGCCCCGGGCUAACUAGGGC
rnacentral:rRNA from 1 species